UGUGUUUCACCUUUACUGCCGCUUCACAAGUGCGGUGGGGCAGUUUUCCUUUCCAGACCUGGCUCUCUUAUAUCACGUUCCUAGGGUUAUAGCAUAUUCCCAGAGUGCCACUUGAUGUGUGUCAUGGAAAAGCCUCAGCAACCUGCGAGGAAGGGGAAUAGCUGGUCAAUGGAAACACAGCAUUUGGAAAGGUGUGUGUUUGCUGCUAAUCAAAACUCAUCUCCUGGGCUCCAGCUGGUGGCAUUACAAAUGGGAGGAGGGCUCCUGCAGCAUGGUAGCUAAGGUAAUGUCUGUUUGAAUUUGGAAAUGUUCAACCUACCUCAGAUACCAGAUGAAGUAUUUUAUAGCAUAUGAUCCAUGGGAACGCUUGAAAGUGACUUUCCGCAUGCCAGAACACUCUUUUAGUGCAUUGAAAGAGACUUAGGCAGUGAUUAAAGUGAACGGGAAAGCCCUGGGCACCCCUGCUGACCUGCCUCGGAGCCACGCAGAGGAUGGCUGCUGAAGCAAACAGGUACCAGAGUCCCGCCUUUUGUCAAACGAGAAGGCAUGCCACCCAUCCUCGGAUGCUGUUAGUGGAUGCUGGUGAUUGAAGCUUUGCUGUGUCUCUCUGUCGCCAUCAGCUGGAGGAAGGCAAGGUGGCUGCUUCUCAAGUGGGCAGGGAUUGGGAGACCCCUUCUUAGCCCCCGGUGCGUGGGGGGACGGGUG